rnacentral:rRNA from 1 species
GAUGAACGCUGGCGGCGUGCCUAAUACAUGCAAGUAGAACGCUGAAGGAAGGAGCUUGCUCUUUCCGGAUGAGUUGCGAACGGGUGAGUAACGCGUAGGUAACCUGCCUGGUAGCGGGGGAUAACUAUUGGAAACGAUAGCUAAUACCGCAUAACAGUAGAUGUUGCAUGAUAUCUACUUAAAAGGUGCAAUUGCACCACUGCCAGAUGGACCUGCGUUGUAUUAGCUAGUUGGUGAGGUAACGGCUCACCAAGGCGACGAUACAUAGCCGACCUGAGAGGGUGAUCGGCCACACUGGGACUGAGACACGGCCCAGACUCCUACGGGAGGCAGCAGUAGGGAAUCUUCGGCAAUGGACGGAAGUCUGACCGAGCAACGCCGCGUGAGUGAAGAAGGUUUUCGGAUCGUAAAGCUCUGUUGUAAGAGAAGAACGAGUGUGAGAGUGGAAAGUUCACACUGUGACGGUAUCUUACCAGAAAGGGACGGCUAACUACGUG